CCUCGGUGAGGCUAUUUUAUUAAUUAUUUAAAUAAAAUGUCUUGCAAAACAAUAAAUAAAAGCAUAUUCUAGAAAAUAAUAAAGAAAAUCAUAUUCUAGAAAGUAACGAAAUGAAUUUAAGCCCUAAUUUAGAAACCCCUCUUCAGUCUUGCAGUUCCAAUCCUUUCCUCCUGAUGUUGCGAUGUCGGAGCUUCAGGAAGUCCAAUUCAAAAUUGCAGUCCGUUUCUCUUGGUAUGUGGAUUUGAUUUUGAACCCGAUGCUGUUGAAAAUAGCGUUUGGGGGUUGUAACUUCCUGCUGAUAUUCAUAACGGAUCUGAAGAUCCAUCGAUUCUGGUACUUCUCCAUCAUCUAGUGCAACAUUUUCGACAUGAUCUGCCAGCGUGUUUCCUUCUCUCAUUAUGUGUAUCGCCUGACAGUUUUGUUGUCCAUUAAGCUACAAAUUUCCUCUACCAUUUCAAUCACUCGCUAAGGGACUUCCCAGGUCCUGACAGGCGUAGCGGAGGACCUCCACAAUAGUAAGACUUCCAGUUUCAGCGGUGUCAGCAAGUUCCACUACUCCGGACUUGCUAUCUUUUGGUAUACUUAUGUUAUCGUGAUAUAUGUUCAUAUGUUAUGGGAACGUCGGGGCCCUGUCCUGACUAUUAUGCUUUUGCUAUCCUCGUUCUUAGAGGCGCAUAGACAUUUUGGGUAUAUGUAGAUAUUAUGUACGACCUCGUCAGCCUUGCUUUGGUUUUUGAUAUUCUCCUGAUAGACUUGCCGGCUUUAUGACAUUUAUGAUAUUAUUGCAGCA